rnacentral:rRNA from 1 species
AGCAGCCGCGGUAAUUCCAGCUCCAAUAGCGUAUAUUAAAGUUGUUGCAGUUAAAAAGCUCGUAGUUGAAUUUCGGGGUUAGUAGGUUGGUCAUGCCUCUGGUAUGUACUGGUCUCACUGAUUCCUCCUUCCUGAUGAGCCGUAAUGCCAUUAAUUUGGUGUUGCGGGGAAUUUGGACUGUUACUUUGAAAAAUUAGAGUGUUUAAAGCAAGCUAACGCUUGAAUACAUUAGCAUGGAAUAAUGAAAUAGGACGUUCGAUCCUAUUUUGUUGGUUUCUAGGAUUGACGUAAUGAUUAAUAGGGAUAGUUGGGGGCAUUAGUAUUCAAUUGUCAGAGGUGAAAUUCUUGGAUUUAUUGAAGACUAACUACUGCGAAAGCAUUUGCCAAGGAUGUUUUCAUUAAUACAAGAACGAAAGUUAGGGGAUCGAAGACGAUCAGAUACCGUCGUAGUCUUAACCAUAAACUAUAGCCGACUAGGGAUCGGAUGAUGUUAAUUUU